AACAGUUGGGCUUGCAAGGGAGCCUGAAGAACAACAUCUUGUUCCCAGCUGAGCAGUCUUCCCCCAGAGCAUGCUGCUCAGAGCCCUGUUGCCAAGGAUGGGGCAUGCACAGCCUCUGUGCACAGCCUGGGCCAGUGCCCCACCACCCCCAGUGGAAAAGAGCAGCUUCCUUAGAUGCAGCUUCAAUCAACCUGCUGCAGUUGAAAGCCAUCCCCCCUUGUCCUGUCAGCACAGGCCCUGCUGAACACUCUGUCCCCUUCUUUCCUGUGGGACCCUUCCAGUCCUGCACAGCCACAGUGAGGCCUCCCAGUGUCUCCUCUGUCCAGGCUGAGCAUCCCCAGCCCCACUUGCCCAGCAGUCAGUCACAUCAGGGCGAGUCAAGGCUGAAGGGUAGCAAAUAACAUCAGGAACUGAGAGAUGCAAGCUUUAGACUCAGGAAGCCUGGCACAAUGUCCAUUUUCUUCUCCAUUUGUGAAACAACAAGCAGAGUCUGGGCAGGCUGAUGAUGCAGAGCACAACCUGAAAAUAUACUAGUGAUCCUGAGCCUGGGGGAUGCAGCUAAACCCAGCCAAAAGGAAUUUCUGGAAAGCUGAUCCUGGUUUACAUUUUCUUCAGUGUGGCUAUGCCAACUUCCCCAGUCAUUUCUAAAAAAGCAAACAAAAAACUCAAACCAAAACAGACAAAAAUCCAAACAAAGAAACCAACAACCAAGCCCACAAAAAGCAAUCCAACAACUAGAUUAAAAAAACCCAAAUAAAACCAAAGGGAAUGAGGAGUUAGGAUUAGUUGUGAGGAUAGCACAGCAGGCAAAUGGCUGCUUGCCACAGGAUCACCAUCAAAAGCCACAUAGAACAGCUGCUCCAAAAUAUACCCAACAGGAGAAAAAGAAAAAGUGAUGCAUGGCAACUUUGGGGGCAGCUCCACAUUCAGGUGAAGGAUGAGCACGCAGUGGUACAGAUCCAGCAUUGCCCACCCUCCAGGCUGCUGUUUGCUCCUGGUGAAAGCCCCUUGCAGGACUGUGGCCCCUCUCAGUGCAGUGUCAGUCAUUCCCAGAGCUCUCAACUGAGCCACUGGCAUUUCCAGAGUGACAUCCAGUGGGAUACCAUUUUCGAUUUGUCUCCUAAUGCCACAGGGGUCCUAAACAGUAUAUGCCAUCCCA